rnacentral:tRNA from 1 species
GGUCCGUUGGCCCAAUGGUAAGGCGUCUGACUACGACUUCCAGCAGUUUAUCAGGAGAUUCUGGGUUCGACCCCCAGGCGGACCU